CAGUCUCACUCUGAUGCUGUUGCCUGUUUCGCCUAUGUACAUAACCCCUCUGUCUGAGGGCGGUGAAGAGGGUGCUUGUGGCCUGGUUGAAAUCCUCCUCCCUAGUACAUAUACGGUGGAAGCGGGUCAGUUGUGACUUAACGAUACCCCUGAAGGCUUUCCACAUCCAUGGUGAA